rnacentral:lncRNA from 1 species
GGAAUAUACUGUCAGUGAAUUGACUAGACUGGAGGACGAUGGAAUAUACUGUGAGUGAAUUGACUAGACUGGAGGACGAUGGAAUAUACUGUGAGUGAAUUGACUAGACUGGAGGACGAUGGAAUAUACUGUCAGUGAAUUGACUAGACUGGAGGACGAUGGAAUAUACUUUCCCAGUUGUCUUGAAAGCACCAUAAAUCCAGAGAAUGACAGACUUUGAUGACAAAAUUUGCCCACGAAGGACCGUCGCACCAUCUUCCUGUUCAAGUGAGCACAGCCCAACAAGUUCCUGUUUUCUAGUUUUCCUGGGUUUUGUUUUUUUGGGACCAUUCUGCCUGUCUGUCGUUCAGUACCUUGUCCCACCACGCUGGAUUACUGACCUCUGCUUAUCCUGACCCUGAGCCUGCCUGCCGUUCUGUACCUUUCGGACUCUGGACUACUGACCUCUGCUUAUCCUGACCCUGAGCCUGCCUGCCGUUCUGUACCUUUCGGACUCUGGACUACUGACCUCUGUCUGCAUCUGGGUCUUCUCCAGAGCCUUGACACGUAUUAUUACCAACAAUAACGAAACAGCCUACAGGGAGGAGGGGAGUAUUAUUAUUAUUUUUUACUGUUUUCUACAUUGUAGAAUAAUAGUGAAGACAUCAAAACUACG